rnacentral:rRNA from 1 species
GACGAACGCUGGCGGCGUGCUUAACACAUGCAAGUCGAGCGGUAAGGCCCUUUCGGGGGUACACGAGCGGCGAACGGGUGAGUAACACGUGGGUGACCUGCCCUCAGCUCUGGGAUAAGCCCGGGAAACUGGGUCUAAUACUGGAUAUGACUCCAUGACGCAUGUUGUGGGGUGGAAAGCCUUGUGCGGCUGAGGAUGGGCCCGCGGCCUAUCAGCUUGUUGGGGGGUGAUGGCCUACCAAGGCGACGACGGGUAGCCGGCCUGAGAGGGCGACCGGCCACACUGGGACUGAGACACGGCCCAGACUCCUACGGGAGGCAGCAGUGGGGAAUCUUGCGCAAUGGGCGAAAGCCUGACGCAGCGACGCCGCGUGAGGGAUGACGGCCUGGUGUACGUAC